AGGAAACUGAAGCUACGCCAAAACUAGAGAGCACAAGAUUGGGAAAACGUCUGGUCAGAAGAAUUUUGAUUUCUGCUGUGCAGGCGGUAGAAUCAGAAUUUGGGACAUGGGUCCAUCCUGCCUUGUGUCAGCUGUUCAGGGGUCGAAAAGACCUUGGGACCAAUCACUUCACCAGAAACAAAGUCUAAUUAGGAGAAAGGAAAAGGCCUUUUAAUUAUCGGCCAGGCUCCACCGCCA